CGGACGGGUGAGUAACGCGUGGGUAACCUACCCUGUACACACGGAUAACAUACUGAAAGGUAUGCUAAUACGGGAUAAUAUAUUUGAGAGGCAUCUCUUGAAUAUCAAAGGUGAGCCAGUACAGGAUGGACCCGCGUCUGAUUAGCUAGUUGGUAAGGUAACGGCUUACCAAGGCGACGAUCAGUAGCCGACCUGAGAGGGUGAUCGGCCACAUUGGAACUGAGACACGGUCCAA
rnacentral:rRNA from 1 species